rnacentral:rRNA from 1 species
CCUACGGGUGGCUGCAGUGGGGAAUAUUGCACAAUGGGGGAAACCCUGAUGCAGCGACGCCGCGUGAAGGAUGAAGUAUUUCGGUAUGUAAACUUCUAUCAGCAGGGAAGAAAAUGACGGUACCUGACUAAGAAGCCCCGGCUAAAUACGUGCCAGCAGCCGCGGUAAUACGUAUGGGGCAAGCGUUAUCCGGAUUUACUGGGUGUAAAGGGAGCGUAGGCGGCCUGGCAAGCCUGAUGUGAAAUACCGGGGCCCAACCCCGGGGCUGCAUUGGGAACUGCCAGGCUGGAGUGCCGGAGAGGCAGGCGGAAUUCCUAGUGUAGCGGUGAAAUGCGUAGAUAUUAGGAGGAACACCAGUGGCGAAGGCGGCCUGCUGGACGGUGACUGACGCUGAGGCUCGAAAGCGUGGGGAGCAAACAGGAUUAGAUACCCCAGUAGUC